GAGACGAUAUCCAUAUGGAGUCGUACUCGAAAGAAAGAACGCUUUGCUUGAGUACUAAUUCGCCUUGAUCUGAAAAGACAGGGACGGAGGG
rfam:Geomicrobium sp. JCM 19038 DNA, contig: JCM19038.contig00001.